rnacentral:rRNA from 1 species
AGUGAACGCUGGCGGUAGGCCUAACACAUGCCAGUCGAACGGCAGCACAGUAAGAGCUUGCUCUUACGGGUGGCGAGUGGCGGACGGGUGAGGAAUACAUCGGGAUCUACUUUUUCGUGGGGGAUAACGUAGGGAAACUUACGCUAAUACCGCAUACGACCUACGGGUGAAAGCAGGGGAUCUUAGGACCUUGCGCGAUUGAAUGAGCCGAUGUCGGAUUAGCUAGUUGGCGGGGUAAAGGCCCACCAAGGCGACGAUCCGUAGCUGGUCUGAGAGGAUGAUCAGCCACACUGGAACUGAGACACGGUCCAGACUCCUACGGGAGGCAGCAGUGGGGAAUAUUGGACAAUGGGCGCAAGCCUGAUCCAGCCAUACCGCGUGGGUGAAGAAGGCCUUCGGGUUGUAAAGCCCUUUUGUUGGGAAAGAAAAGCAGCAGGUUAAUACCCCGCUGUUCUGACGGUACCCAAAGAAUAAGCACCGGCUAACUUCGUG